AGAGUUUGAUCCUGGCUCAGGAUGAACGCUGGCGGCGUGCCUAAUACAUGCAAGUCGAGCGAACGGACGAGAAGCUUGCUUCUCUGAUGUUAGCGGCGGACGGGUGAGUAAUACGUGGAUAACCUACCUAUAAGACUGGGAUAACUUCGGGAAACCGGAGCUAAUACCGGAUAAUAUUUUGAACCGCAUGGUUCAAAAGUGAAAGACGGUCUUGCUGUCACUUAUAGAUGGAUCCGCGCUGCAUUAGCUAGUUGGUAAGGUAACGGCUUACCAAGGCAACGAUGCAUAGCCGACCUGAGAGGGUGAUCGGCCACACUGGAACUGAGACACGGUCCAGACUCCUACGGGAGGCAGCAGUAGGGAAUCUUCCGCAAUGGGCGAAAGCCUGACGGAGCAACGCCGCGUGAGUGAUGAAGGUCUUCGGAUCGUAAAACUCUGUUAUUAGGGAAGAACAUAUGUGUAAGUAACUGUGCACAUCUUGACGGUACCUAAUCAGAAAGCCACGGCUAACUACGUGCCAGCAGCCGCGGUAAUACGUAGGUGGCAAGCGUUAUCCGGAAUUAUUGGGCGUAAAGCGCGCGUAGGCGGUUUUUUAAGUCUGAUGUGAAAGCCCACGGCUCAACCGUGGAGGGUCAUUGGAAACUGGAAAACUUGAGUGCAGAAGAGGAAAGUGGAAUUCCAUGUGUAGCGGUGAAAUGCGCAGAGAUAUGGAGGAACACCAGUGGCGAAGGCGACUUUCUGGUCUGUAACUGACGCUGAUGUGCGAAAGCGUGGGGAUCAAACAGGAUUAGAUACCCUGGUAGUCCACGCCGUAAACGAUGAGUGCUAAGUGUUAGGGGGUUUCCGCCCCUUAGUGCUGCAGCUAACGCAUUAAGCACUCCGCCUGGGGAGUACGACCGCAAGGUUGAAACUCAAAGGAAUUGACGGGGACCCGCACAAGCGGUGGAGCAUGUGGUUUAAUUCGAAGCAACGCGAAGAACCUUACCAAAUCUUGACAUCCUUUGACAACUCUAGAGAUAGAGCCUUCCCCUUCGGGGGACAAAGUGACAGGUGGUGCAUGGUUGUCGUCAGCUCGUGUCGUGAGAUGUUGGGUUAAGUCCCGCAACGAGCGCAACCCUUAAGCUUAGUUGCCAUCAUUAAGUUGGGCACUCUAAGUUGACUGCCGGUGACAAACCGGAGGAAGGUGGGGAUGACGUCAAAUCAUCAUGCCCCUUAUGAUUUGGGCUACACACGUGCUACAAUGGACAAUACAAAGGGCAGCGAAACCGCGAGGUCAAGCAAAUCCCAUAAAGUUGUUCUCAGUUCGGAUUGUAGUCUGCAACUCGACUACAUGAAGCUGGAAUCGCUAGUAAUCGUAGAUCAGCAUGCUACGGUGAAUACGUUCCCGGGUCUUGUACACACCGCCCGUCACACCACGAGAGUUUGUAACACCCGAAGCCGGUGGAGUAACCUUUUAGGAGCUAGCCGUCGAAGGUGGGACAAAUGAUUGGGGUGAAGUCGUAACAAGGUAGCCGUAUCGGAAGGUGCGGCUGGAUCACCU
rnacentral:rRNA from 1 species